rnacentral:rRNA from 1 species
UACGAAGGGGCUAGCGUUGUUCGGAUUUACUGGGCGUAAAGCGCACGUAGGCGGAUCGUUAAGUCGGGGGUGAAAUCCUGGAGCUCAACUCCAGAACUGCCUUCGAUACUGGCGAUCUUGAGUCCGGAAGAGGUGAGUGGAACUCCUAGUGUAGAGGUGGAAUUCGUAGAUAUUAGGAAGAACACCAGUGGCGAAGGCGGCUCACUGGUCCGGUACUGACGCUGAGGUGACGAAAGCGUGGGGAGCAAACAGG